AGCAGAGAUGCUUGGUUGGCCUUCCGGGAACGUCUGAGACAGGUGCUGCAUGGCUGUCGUCAGCUCGUGUUGUGAAAUGUUGGGUUAAGUCCCGCAACGAGCGCAACCCUUAUCCUUUGUUGCCAGCGGCUCGGCCGGGAACUCAAAGGAGACUGCCGGUGAUAAACCGGAGGAAGGUGGGGAUGACGUCAAGUCAUCAUGGCCCUUACGGCCAGGGCUACACACGUGCUACAAUGGCGCAUACAAAGAGAAGCGACCUCGCGAGAGCAAGCGGACCUCACAAAGUGCGUCGUAGUCCGGAUUGGAGUCUGCAACUCGACUCCAUGAAGUCGGAAUCGCUAGUAAUCGUAGAUCAGAAUGCUACGGUGAAUACGUUCCCGGGCCUUGUACACACCGCCCGUCACACCAUGGGAGUGGGUUGCAAAAGAAGUAGGUAGCUUAACCUUCGGGAGGGCGCUUACCACUUUGUGAUUCAUGACUGGGGUGAAGUCGUAACAAGGUAAGCGUAGCGAG
rnacentral:rRNA from 1 species